rnacentral:rRNA from 1 species
UAGUCUGGUGCCAGCAGCCGCGGUAAUUCCAGCUCCAAUAGCGUAUAUUUAAGUUGUUGCAGUUAAAAAGCUCGUAGUUGGAUUUCGGAUAGGGGGCGCCGGUCCGCUUCGGUGUGCACUGGCGGCCCAUAUCUUCUUGUCGGGGAUGCGUGCUGGUCUUCAUUGAUCGGCCGCAGAGUCGGCGCUGUUACUUUGAAAAAAUUAGAGUGUUCAAAGCAGGCUUUCGCUUGAAUACAUUAGCAUGGAAUAACAUGAUAGGACUUCGAUCCCAUUGUGUUGGUCUUCGGGACUGAAGUAAUGAUUAAGAGGGACAGUUGGGGGCAUUCGUAUUACAUUGCAAGAGGUGAAAUUCUUGGAUUUAUGUAAGACGAACUUCUGCGAAAGCAUUUGCCAAGGAUGUUUUCAUUAAUCAAGAACGAAAGUUGGGGGCUCGAAGAUGAUUAGAUACCAUCGUAGUCUCAACCAUAAACAAUGCCGACUAGAGAUCGGAGGCCGUUAUCUAUACGACUCCUUCAGCAUCUUAUGGGAAACUAAAGUCUUUGGGUUCCGGGGGGAGUAUGGCCGCAAGGCUGAAACUUAAAGGAAUUGACGGAAGGGCACCACCAGGAGUGGAGCCUGCGGCUUAAUUUGACUCAACACGGGGAAACUUACCAGGUCCAGACAUAGUAAGGAUUGACAGAUUGACAGCUCUUUCUUGAUUCUAUGGGUGGUGGUGCAUGGCCGUUCUU